UACAGAGGGUGCGAGCGUUAAUCGGAAUUACUGGGCGUAAAGGGCGCGUAGGCGGUGUAUUAAGUUAGAUGUGAAAUCCCUGGGCUUAACCUAGGAACUGCAUCUAAGACUGAUACGCUAGAGUGCGGUAGAGGAUAGUGGAAUUUCCGGUGUAGCGGUGAAAUGCGUAGAUAUCGGAAGGAACACCAGUGGCGAAGGCGGCUAUCUGGACUGACACUGACGCUGAGGCGCAAGAGCGUGGGGAGCAAACAGG
rnacentral:rRNA from 1 species